AUGUGAAUUCCUAUAUUGCAGCAUUAAUGCACCAUAUCCCAUUAUAAAUCUGCAGUUUAGAGCGCUCGGUCUAGAGUAGUAUUGGGAUGGGUGACCGCCUAGGAAGUCCUAGUAUUUUACUUU
rnacentral:rRNA from 1 species